UGGGGAAUUUUGGACAAUGGGGGAAACCCUGAUCCAGCCAUCCCGCGUGUGCGAUGAAGGCCUUCGGGUUGUAAAGCACUUUUGGCAGGAAAGAAACGUCAUGGGUUAAUACCCCGUGAAACUGACGGUACCUGCAGAAUAAGCACCGGCUAACUACGUGCCAGCAGGCGCGGUAAUACGUAGGGUGCAAGCGUUAAUCGGAAUUACUGGGCGUAAAGCGUGCGCAGGCGGUUCGGAAAGAAAGAUGUGAAAUCCCAGAGCUCAACUUUGGAACUGCAUUUUUAACUACCGGGCUAGAGUGUGUCAGAGGGAGGUGGAAUUCCGCGUGUAGCAGUGAAAUGCGUAGAUAUGCGGAGGAACACCGAUGGCGAAGGCAGCCUCCUGGGAUAACACUGACGCUCAUGCACGAAAGCGUGGGGAGCAAACAGG
rnacentral:rRNA from 1 species